rnacentral:lncRNA from 10 species
ACUCUCUCCUUUCUGGUCUAAAUUGGGUUGGAAUAUAUAUCAAAGGAAGCCAGAAAGUGGUUGGGGAGAUUAAAAAAAACAACAACAACAACGUUUAGACUGAAUGUCUUGACGGUCCAUCCAUUCACUUCUGCUUUGAAAAUGAGACAGGGUCUCACUCUGUUACCCAGUCUGGAGUACAAUGGCACCACUAUAGCCCACUGCAGCCUCAAACUUCUGGGAUCAAGCAAUCUUCCCACUUCAGCAUCCCAAGUAGGAAUGUCUCAUUAAAUGACAUCAAAGCCUGAUUCUGCAAUUAAAAAAGCGUUUAUAUUAACUGGAUUUUGAAAAGAGAAAAGAACAAUAAAACCACCCCCCAAUUCUUCAAACAACAAAAGAGGAAACACAGCAACCCCCUUCCCCAAAUUUUGGCAUUUGUUCACCUCUUUUAACCCUUGCUUUUUUGUAAAAUAACUUAUGGAGAAAUUGUUGUGAGCAAAAGGUCUUAAUUGCAAAAAAAAAAAAAAAUCCUUUUAGGAGUGUUUAAAAUAAAAUGACAGAGUAUAUUUAUGGAGCCUGGACAAUGCAUCCUUUUCUCAUAUUUUCCAGUUUUGUAAUGCCUAAGUACUCGUCUAGAAUCUGAAUUUAGUAAUGCCAAUAUUGGACUCUUUCACAUACAUUCUAUAGAGUUAUUAGUAAACUCAUGACAACCAACUAACCAACCAGGCAAACAAAAACAUAUUUAGAAACCCAAGCUGUAAGGCACAGCUCAUGCACACACACACAAAAUUUCAUCCCAAAAUAUGUAUGAACUUUGAGGGAACAAUCAGCA